rnacentral:rRNA from 1 species
UGCAAGUCGAGCGGACAGAUGGGAGCUUGCUCCCUGAUGUUAGCGGCGGACGGGUGAGUAACACGUGGGUAACCUGCCUGUAAGACUGGGAUAACUCCGGGAAACCGGGGCUAAUACCGGAUGGUUGUUUGAACCGCAUGGUUCAAACAUAAAAGGUGGCUUCGGCUACCACUUACAGAUGGACCCGCGGCGCAUUAGCUAGUUGGUGAGGUAACGGCUCACCAAGGCAACGAUGCGUAGCCGACCUGAGAGGGUGAUCGGCCACACUGGGACUGAGACACGGCCCAGACUCCUACGGGAGGCAGCAGUAGGGAAUCUUCCGCAAUGGACGAAAGUCUGACGGAGCAACGCCGCGUGAGUGAUGAAGGUUUUCGGAUCGUAAAGCUCUGUUGUUAGGGAAGAACAAGUACCGUUCGAAUAGGGCGGUACCUUGACGGUACCUAACCAGAAAGCCACGGCUAACUACGUGCCAGCAGCCGCGGUAAUACGUAGGUGGCAAGCGUUGUCCGGGAAUUAUUGGGCGUAAAGGGCUCGCAGGCGGUUUCUUAAGUCUGAUGUGAAAGCCCCCGGCUCAACCGGGGAGGGUCAUUGGAAACUGGGGAACUUGAGUGCAGAAGAGGAGAGUGGAAUUCCACGUGUAGCGGUGAAAUGCGUAGAGAUGUGGAGGAACACCAGUGGCGAAGGCGACUCUCUGGUCUGUAACUGACGCUGAGGAGCGAAAGCGUGGGGAGCGAACAGGAUUAGAUACCCUGGUAGUCCACGCCGUAAACGAUGAGUGCUAAGUGUUAGGGGGUUUCCGCCCCUUAGUGCUGCAGCUAACGCAUUAAGCACUCCGCCUGGGGAGUACGGUCGCAAGACUGAAACUCAAAGGAAUUGACGGGGGCCCGCACAAGCGGUGGAGCAUGUGGUUUAAUUUCGAAGCAACGCGAAGAACCUUACCAGGUCUUGACAUCCUCUGACAAUCCUAGAGAUAGGACGUCCCCUUCGGGGGCAGAGUGACAGGUGGUGCAUGGUUGUCGUCAGCUCGUGUCGUGAGAUGUUGGGUUAAGUCCCGCAACGAGCGCAACCCUUGAUCUUAGUUGCCAGCAUUCAGUUGGGCACUCUAAGGUGACUGCCGGUGACAAACCGGAGGAAGGUGGGGAUGACGUCAAAUCAUCAUGCCCCUUAUGACCUGGGCUACACACGUGCUACAAUGGACAGAACAAAGGGCAGCGAAACCGCGAGGUUAAGCCAAUCCCACAAAUCUGUUCUCAGUUCGGAUCGCAGUCUGCAACUCGACUGCGUGAAGCUGGAAUCGCUAGUAAUCGCGGAUCAGCAUGCCGCGGUGAAUACGUUCCCGGGCCUUGUACACACCGCCCGUCACACCACGAGAGUUUGUAACACCCGAAGUCGGUGAGGUAACCUUUAGGA